rnacentral:lncRNA from 1 species
GGAAAGAUGGAGAGGGGAGGGGUGAAUAGAAAGUAGGCAGGCUUCUGGGUGGAUGGGGCCCAGCACCCACAGCCUAGGCUGGCUGCCUGAGAGUAGCGAGUGACAGGUAAGGGCUCUGAACCUUCCUGCGUGCUACCCAAGGAGUGCCUAGGGCUACCAGGAGGCCCAGGGAGGAACCUUGAGACCUGAGAAAGGCUUUUCUUCCCCGAGAGGACCACUGCUCAGGCUCAGAGGCCAUGGGGUGAAGUGCACAAAAAAGUGGGCGUCCAGCCAUGCUCUAAGUCCCCCGAAGAUGAAGACCAGGGAGCAGCUUCCUCCAAUGAAGCAGCAGCAAUCAGAGGACCAGGAGGCUGAAGCCCUGAGCCCAGCCAGAGGCAGGAUCAGCCAAGUCUGGGACAGGCUUCAAUUAUUUUAGGCAGAGCUUCUGGUUCCUGGGCCUUCAGACUUGGACUAGAACUUCACUACCAGCUUUCCUGGGUCUCCAGCUUGCAGAGAGCAGAUCGCAGAACUUCUUAGCCUCCAUAAUCACAAGAACGUGUUUGCUUCCCCUUCCACCAUGAUUGUAAGUUUCCUGAGGCCUCCCCAGUCCUGCAGAACUGCUUUGAAGAAGACCACUGCGUCGGUAUUUGUGAAAUGUUUUGAGCCUCUGGAUUUAAAUAAGAUGGAAAACCAAAGCUCAGGGAGUUUUACAUGGGCAGGCAGCUGGUGAGGGCUGAGACUGGAGCCAGGCCAGUGGUCUUCAAAGGCUUUAGUCAAACUUUUUGACAGAUAUAAGAAAACCGAACUAAGGAAAAUACUUUCCUGGGAUCAUCCCUAUAUGAAGUGGCAGACCUGGAAUUGCUCCCUGUUUCAAAACAUGGCUGAAGCCUCAGAGUCUGGAUCAGUGUCAGCUCCCGCCCCCACCCAGGCCUGCUCAGAAGAACCCAAGCCACUCAGAAGCAGGAGGCAGCCUUCACCCCAACCAGACCAAUAUCCGUUCCAGACUCAGGAUUACAACAAUCUGGGAGAGGGUCAACCAAGUCAGAGUCCCACAUGGCAGAAGAGCUGCUUUAGCUUAAGACUCUUAACUCUUUUUCUUCGGGGCAGGAAAGGUUUGAGCCAAUGAAGGAUGAGGCUUUCCAGGCCCAGGACACAACCUUGAUCCAAGGCCUAGUUGUGGCUUUAAUUUUUGUAAAUCAAGCCUCAAGUUUUUCUUCACUCUUUUAGCCAAAGAUAUGUUUCCCAGGAUGCAUGAAAUAAAUAAAUAAAAUGUACCAAAUUAGAGAUUGUGAGACAUGUAUGUCACUUAAAUCCUUUGUAGGCAAGCAGGAAUCACUGAUUCACUAAAUUCUGUCCUAAGUUUUUUUUUCUCCUAACCAUUGUC